AGUGAAGCGGCAACAGCUCAAAUUUGAAAUCUGGCUACAUCCCGUAGUCCGAGUUGUAAUUUGUAGAGGAUGCUUUUGGUGAGGUGCCUUCCGAGUUCCCUGGAACGGGACGCCAUAGAGGGUGAGAGCCCCGUACGGUUGGAUACCAAGCCUCUGUAUAGCUCCUUCAACGAGUCGAGUAGUUUGGGAAUGCUGCUCUAAAUGGGAGGUAUAUCUCUUCUAAAGCUAAAUAUAGGCUAGAGACCGAUAGCGCACAAGUAGAGUGAUCGAAAGAUGAAAAGCACUUUGAAAAGAGAGUUAAACAGCACGUGAAAUUGUUGAAAGGGAAGCGCCUAUGACCAGACUUGUUUCUGGCAGUUUCGUUAGCCCUCGGGCUGAUUUACUCUGUCCAGUACAGGCCAGCAUCAGUUUGCUGUCGGGGAGAAAGGCUCUGGGAACGUAGCUCCCCCCUUCUGGGGGGAGUGUUAUAGCCCUCUGCAUAAUACCCUUCGGCAGACUGAGGACCGCGCUUCGGCAAGGAUGCUGGCGUAAUGGUCAUCAGCGACCCGUCUUGAAACACGGACCAAGGAGUCAACCUUAUGUGCGAGUGUUUGGGUGUAAAACCCCAGCGCGUAAUGAAAGUGAACGUAGGUGAGAGCUUCGGCGCAUCAUCGACCGAUUCUGAUGUUUUCGGAUGGAUUUGAGUAAGAGCACACAGGGUUGGACCCGAAAGAAGGUGAACUAUGCUUGUAUAGGGUGAAGCCAGAGGAAACUCUGGUGGAGGCUCGCAGCGGUUCUGACGUGCAAAUCGAUCGUCAAAUAUGAGCAUGGGGGCGAAAGACUAAUCGAACCUUCUAGUAGCUGGUUCCAGCCGAAGU
rnacentral:rRNA from 1 species